rnacentral:rRNA from 1 species
GACGAACGCUGGCGGCGUGCCUAAUACAUGCAAGUCGAACGCUUCUUUCCUCCCGAUUGCUUGCACUCAAUUGGAAAGAGGAGUGGCGGACGGGUGAGUAACACGUGGGUAACCUACCCAUCAGAGGGGGAUAACACUUGUAAACAGGUUCUAAUACCGCAUAACAGGUUAUGCCUCGUGGCAUAUGAGUGGAAGGCGCUUUCGGGUGUCGCUGAUGGAUGGACCCGCGGUGCAUUAGCUAGUUGGUGAGGUAACGGUUCACCAAGGCCACGAUGCAUAGACGAACUGAGAGAGUGAUAGGCCACACUGGGACUGAGACACGGACCAGACUCCUACGGGAGGCAGCAGUAGGGAAUCUUCGGCAAUGGACGAAAGUCUGACCGAGCAACGCCGCGUGAGUUAAGACGGUUUUCGGAUCGUAAAACUCUGUUGUUAGAGAAGAACAAGGACGUUAGUAAAUGAACGUCGCCUGACGGUAUCUAACAAGAAAGCCACGGCUAACUACGUG